UACGUAGGGCGCAAGCGUUAUCCGGAAUUAUUGGGCGUAAAGCGCGCGCAGGCGGUCCUUUAAGUCUGAUGUGAAAGCCCACGGCUCAACCGUGGAGGGUCAUUGGAAACUGGGGAACUUGAGUGCAGAAGAGGAAAGUGGAAUUCCAAGUGUAGCGGUGAAAUGCGUAGAGAUUUGGAGGAACACCAGUGGCGAAGGCGACUUUCUGGUCUGUAACUGACACUGAGGCGCGAAAGCGUGGGGAGCAAACAGG
rnacentral:rRNA from 1 species